UGGUAAUCACUUUUAUUGGGUCUAAAGGGUCCGUAGCCGGUUUGAUCAGUUCUUCGGGAAAUCUGACAGCUUAACUGUUAGGCUUCCGGGGAAUACUGUCAGACUUGGGACCGGGAGAGGUAAGAGGUACUACAGGGGUAGGAGUGAAAUCUUGUAAUCCCUGUGGGACCACCAGUGGCGAAGGCGUCUUACCAGAACGGGUCCGACGGUGAGGGACGAAAGCUGGGGGCACGAACCGGAUUAGAUACCCGGGUAGUCCCAGCCGUAAACGAUGUUCGCUAGGUGUCAGGGACGGUGCGACCGUUUCUGGUGCCGCAGGGAAGCCGUGAAGCGAACCACCUGGGAAGUACGGCCGCAAGGCUGAAACUUAAAGGAAUUGGCGGGGGAGCACUACAACGGGUGGAGCCUGCGGUUUAAUUGGACUCAACGCCGGAAAACUCACCGGGGGCGACAGCAACAUGUAGGUCAGGCUAAAGACCUUACCUGAAUCGCUGAGAGGAGGUGCAUGGCCGUCGUCAGUUCGUACUGUGAAGCAUCCUGUUAAGUCAGGCAACGAGCGAGACCCGUGCCCACUGUUGCCAGCAUGUCCUUCGGGAUGAUGGGUACUCUGUGGGGACCGCUGGUGCUAAACCAGAGGAAGGUGCGGGCUACGGUAGGUCAGUAUGCCCCGAAUCUCCCGGGCUACACGCGGGCUACAAUGGCUGGGACAAUGGGUUCCUACACCGAAAGGUGAUGGUAAUCUCCCAAACCCAGCCGUAGUUCGAAUCGAGGACUGUAACUCGUCCUCGUGAAGCUGGAAUCCGUAGUAAUCGCGUUUCAACAUAGCGCGGUGAAUACGUCCCUGCUCCUUGCACGAAUUCGCCGA
rnacentral:rRNA from 1 species